UGGGGAAUAUUGCACAAUGGGCGCAAGCCUGAUGCAGCCAUGCCGCGUGUAUGAAGAAGGCCUUCGGGUUGUAAAGUACUUUCAGUCGGGAGGAAGGUGUCAAGGUUAAUAACCUUGGCAAUUGCCGUUACCCGCAGAAGAAGCACCGGCUAACUCCGUGCCAGCAGCCGCGGUAAUACGGAGGGUGCAAUCGUUAAUCGGAAUUACUGGGCGUAAAGCGCACGCAGGCGGUUUGUUAAGUCAGAUGUGAAAUCCCCGGGCUCAACCUGGGAACUGCAUUCGAAACUGGCAGGCUAGAGUCGUGUAGAGGGGGGUAGAAUUCCAGGUGUAGCGAUGAAAUGCGUAGAGAUCUGGAGGAAUACCGGUGGCGAAGGCGGCCCCCUGGACAAAGACUGACGCUCAGGUGCGAAAGCGUGGGGAGCAAACAGG
rnacentral:rRNA from 1 species